UACGAAGGGGGCUAGCGUUGCUCGGAAUCACUGGGCGUAAAGCGCACGUAGGCGGACUCUUAAGUCGGUGGUGAAAUCCUGGAGCUCAACUCCAGAACUGCCUUCGAUACUGGGAGUCUUGAGUUCGGGAGAGGUGAGUGGAACUGCGAGUGUAGAGGUGAAAUUCGUAGAUAUUCGCAAGAACACCAGUGGCGAAGGCGGCUCACUGGCCCGAUACUGACGCUGAGGAGCGAAAGCCAGGGGAGCAAACGGG
rnacentral:rRNA from 1 species